GCUUCAUCUCAGUAUCUUAGUGUGACAUGCCUUGGUUUCCACCUCUCUUUGUUACAAAGAAAUAGUGACCUAGCACACCUUCAGAAAGUCUUUGUUACCAUUAGUGCUGGACAGUGGAUCCAAGUGUAAGUUGCAGCCUUUUAGGUAUAUGUUAGACCUCAGUGCUUCCCACUAAUUUCUAUUUUGGAAUGAACAGCUCCCCACCUGUUUUAGGCACACCACAUCAAAUAAAGGGACACUGACCACCAUCAUUUAAUUGGAUUGAAGUUGUUGUGGUGCAAGGAGUUCCUGAGAACCGG